rnacentral:rRNA from 1 species
UACGGAGGGAGCUAGCGUUGUUCGGAAUUACUGGGCGUAAAGCGCACGUAGGCGGCGAUUCAAGUCAGAGGUGAAAGCCCGGGGCUCAACCCCGGAACUGCCUUUGAAACUAGAUUGCUAGAAUCCUGGAGAGGUUAGUGGAAUUCCGAGUGUAGAGGUGAAAUUCGUAGAUAUUCGGAAGAACACCAGUGGCGAAGGCGACUCACUGGCCCGAUACUGACGCUGAGGCGCGAAAGCGUGGGGAGCAGACGAGG